CAGUGCCACGGGAAGACAGAGGGUGCAAACGUUGUUCGGAAUUACUGGGCGUAAAGCGAGUGUAGGCGGUUCUGUAAGUCGGAUGUGAAAGCUUUGGGUUCAAUUUGGGAAGUGCAUUCGAUACUGUAGAGCUAGAGUACUGGAGAGGUGAGUGGAACUCCGAGUGUAGAGGUGAAAUUCGUAGAUAUUCGGAAGAACACCAGUGGCGAAGGCGACUCACUGGCCCGUUACUGACGCUGAGGCGCGAAAGCGUGGGGAGCAAACAGGAUUAGAUACCCCUGUAGUCCCUGUCUCUUAUACC
rnacentral:rRNA from 1 species